UUUGACGGGAUUAAUUCUGUCAAAUUUGGAUUAUGAACUAUUACUUCCUCUGUAGGUACUAGCUUGUGCCUUGACCUGUGUCUUAGAAAAUUAUCAGUACCCAAAGCUUUCGCGAAGCCAUCUGCAUACUUUAAUUUUGAUGGUAUGUAUUCUACUUUUAAGAUUCCUUUGCUUAUCAAUUCUCUUACAAAGUAGUAACUUAUUUCUAUGUGUCUUGAUCUAGAGGUGAUUGUUGGAUUUUUAGUCAUGAAUAUUGCUGAUUUACUAUCACAUAAUAGUCUUGGAGGAUUCUUCAAUUUUAUUUCCAAUUCUCUUAGAAGAUAACAGUACCAUCUUAACUCUGAGGUGACAUGAGCCAUGGCUUUGAACUCUGCCUCUGUACUUGAAUUAGAGACAGCUGGUUGUUUCUUUGCAGACCAUGAAAGUAAAUUUCCCCAUACCAAAUACUAGAGCCUGUGAUGGAUCUUCUAUCAUAUGUUCCUCUCCAAUCAGAAUCUGUGUAGGCUGCUAAAUCUGGAAAUGCUUCUGAGUUUCUUGUAAUUCUCAAGCCCAAGUAUUCAGUUCCUCUUAAGUAUCUGAAUAUCCUUUUUAUUGCAUUUAAAUGACCCUCUUUAUGAUUUUGGAAAAAUUGACACACUUGAUUAAUAGGGAAUGACAAGUCUAGUCUGAUCAGUGUUAGAUAUUGCAGACUUCCUACCAUACUUCUGUAGCCUGUGAUAUCUUUCACAUCUUCCCCCAUAUCUGCUUGUAACUUCGUAGAUAGUGUUAUGGGAGUCCUUACUGGAUUAGACAGAUGAUAUCCUACUUUUUUAAUAUCUCUUGUGUAUAAUUUUGUUGUGAAAGUACCAUAUUUUCUCCUUGGUAUAUGCAUUCAAUGCCUAGAAAGAAACUGAGUUUCCCCAUAUCUCUACAUUGAAAGGUGGUACAAAUAUUUUUUAUGAAUUCUGAUAUCUUUUGCAUAUAUGUUCCUGUCACAAUUAUAUCAUCAACAUAUAUUAAGACCAUCAAUUUUGAUUCACCUGAAUUUUUGUAAAAAAGAGAGGCAUCUGCAUUUGAAUUCUUAAAUUCUUGAGAUAUAAGUUGCUCCUGUAAUCUGAGGUACCAAGCUCUAGGAGCUUGCUUGAGGCCAUACAAGGCUUUCUGUAGUAGGCACACAUCUUGGGGUCUUGUCUCAUCUUCAAAGCCCUUAGGCUGCUUCAUAUAGACUGUCUCCUGUAAAUACCCAUUUAAAAAUGCAUUCUUGAUGUCCAAUUGCCUUAAUGUCCAUCCAUGACUGACUGCUAAUGAUAAUAUGGUUCUUAUUGUUGAAAUUUUAACCACUGGGCUAUAGGUAUACUGAAAGUCUAUUCCUUCCUCUUGGUUGCAUCCUUGAGCAACCAACCUUGCUUUGUAUCUUUCUAUUGUUCCAUCUGAUUUCCUCUUUAUCUUAUACACCCACCUAGAGCCAAUUAUGUUCAUGUAAUUUUCCUUCUUUACUAGAGUCCAGGUAUUAUUUUCUUUUAUAGCUUUUAUUUCUUCUUCCAUGGCUUUCCUCCAGCAUUCAUACUUAUUAGCUUGUGAAAAAAAUUGAGGCUCACAACAUUCAUUAGAAACAUAUGUAUUACAGACAAAAUCUUUAUAUUUAGUGGAUGGAAUUUUUAAUCUAUGUGAUCUUCCCAAUUCUGACGAAAUGUUCUGUCAUGAUGGUCAGAACCAGAUGGGUUAUGACUUGUAUUUAAGUCCAAGUCUGCCCUGCUCUCAGAAUUUACAAUAGAAAUCGGUUGUAUGUUAUGUUGAACAUCAGAACUUUGAUUAAUAGUAUCUGUAUUAGUAGAUAUACUUUGUUCAGAUUGAUUUGUGUUAGAAAGUUGAUCAGGAGGAUCCCUUUCUAAGCUUUCACUGUCUAUAAUCAUCUGUUGAUUGGAUGAUUCAAUGACUUGUGGGACUGGAGCUGGAAUUUGUUUUUGUGAUAUUGUUAGAAAGUCUAAGGGUUUUCUUUUUUGAUUUUGGGUUUCUACAUUCCUUGAUGGAAUAUCAAGGAAAGGGAAAGACACUUCAUCGAAAAUUACAUCUCUACAUAUUCUUAUAUCUCUGGUUUCUAUGUCCAAGCACCUGUAGCCUUUCUGUUGUGUAGCAUAACCCAAGAAGACACAUGCCUUUGAUUUUGGCAUCAAUUUAUUCCUUCCAAUUCUUGGUAAUAAAGGAAAGCAUUUGCAUCCAAUUGUCUUUAAUUCACUGUAAUCAGGUAUUUUAUUUAGUAACACCUCAUAUGGACUUUUGUUCUCCAAUGUUGGUGUCUUGAUUUUGUUAAUCAAAUAGACUGCUGAAGAGAAUAUUUCUGGCCAAUACUCAUGAGGGAUACCUGAUUUUAUGAGCAAACACCUUCCAACCUCAAUUAUUUGUCUAUGUCUCCUUUUUACAAGUCCAUUCUGUUUUGGAGUGUAUGGACAUGACAUUCUAUGACCAAUUCCCAUUUUCUCUAAGUAUUCUCUGAAUCUAAUGUUCACAAAUUCUCCUCCCUGAUCUGUUUGUACUUCUCCUAUUUUUAAAUCAAAAAAUCUCUCUACUUGUACAUGAAACUUCAGAAAGACUGAUGUAAAAACUGAUUUAUUAAUGAUUGGAUAAAACCAAUUAAAUCUAGUACAUUCAUCAACAAUUGAUAUGUAAAAUCUAUAGUUAUUUACAGAUGUAGUUGGAGAUGGACCCCAAGGAUCUAUAUGUAAAACUUGCAGUGGUUGAGUAGCUAAAUUCUCCCUUCUUUUAUAAGGUAGCUGAUGUGCCUUUCCCAAAGGACAGACUGAACAGAAUGGAUUCUUCUUUUUUUUGCUGGGUUCUAUCAUUAAUUCUGAGGAUAAUUGAUUUAAAACUGUAUCAGAAGGGUGUCCCAGCAUUUCAUGCCAUUUUUCCUUAGUAACCCUUACUCCAUAACAUGCUUGCAUAUCUAAGUAUAGAGGAUAUAGACCUUCUUUACUAAUGCCAGAAAAUAAUAUCUCCAUAGUUUCCCGGUCCUUAAUCAAAAAAUUCAUAUUGUUAAAAAUCACCAAACAAUUUAAAUCUCUAGAGAGUUUUUGUAUAGACAAUAGAUUUUUCUGUAAACCCUGGCACACAUAAUACUCCCUCUAAAAUAAAAUUUUCCCUCCUGAUUUUAAGUUAUUCUCCCUCUAUAAGUGACAGGUAAAUGCUCGCCACUACCUAGCUACCACUACAUAUUGAUUACCUGGAGAUGCUUCAUAUGUUGAAAAAGCUCCUAUAUCUGAUGUCAUGUGGCUGGAUGCUCCUGAAUCCAGGCACCAGAAAUUAUCAUUUUGUGGGGCUGCUGCUGACAUUGCUGAUUCUAGCUGUCCAUAACUCUCAUGAGGACCUUCUGAUGACUGUAUUGGAGCUACGGUUGUAGUGAAAGCUGAAUAGUUGGCUAUGUCUGAGCAUUGUUUUGCCAAAUGUCCCUUUUUAUGACAUAUUUGGCAAUUUUGGGACUGAUCUAAUGAAGAGGGUGUUGAAAUCAUAGGUUGUAGCUUGGUUUUUGGUUGAUUUAAUUGGUACUGACUGGGCAUUGUUUGAUUAGGUGGUUGAUAAUGAUUUUGGGGUGAUUGAUGAUAAUUUUGAGGUGGUGGUGGUUGAUAAUUGUAUUGAUUUUGGUGAGAAGCCUGAUAAGGUCUGUAUCCUAGUCGAGUUUGUGACUGGUAGGGUGGAGGUGGGCUGUUGUAAUAGUGUCCUCUGUACUAAUUUUGUUGAUAAUAGUUUUGUGGUUGGUAAGGUGGAGGUUGGUUGUAAUUUUGAUAACUUGGGUUAUAUUGUCCUCUAUUCUGAUUGUUGUAAUUCUGGUUAUUGUAUGGUCUUCCUCUACCAUAAUUCCCUCUAUAUUGAGAAGCCAUGGCAAUGUUUACUUGAUUUUCAUCAUUGAUUUUCUUUACUAGCAGUUCUUCACCAAGUAGUAGAUCAGUCAGUUCAUCAAAAGAAAUUACUCCCCUGCUCCUCACAGUAGUUAGUAAACAUCUGUAUUCUGAGUUCAAACCUCCCAGAAUAUAAUCUUUCAAACAUGUUUCAGUUAGAGUCUCUCCUGUGUAUGAUAAGGACUCCACCAGUCCUUUAACUCUAACUAUAUAAUCCUGCAUUGAUUCAGUACCUAAUUUCUUUAGGGUUCUUAACUGUUCCUUGAUUACAGUUACCUGUGUAUUGCUUACUGGUGAUAAAAUUUUCUCCAGAUGUAUCCACCCUUUAUAAGCUGAUUUACAUUUAAGUAGCAUAAGCUGGUACUGAUCAAUUUGCUACUGUAACUUUAAUCCAUCCCAAGAUUAAAUCAUCAUCUGCCAUCCAAGUUUCAUAUGCAGGAUUAUCCCUUUUAUCUGCUAGUUUAGGACUUAGGCAGGAGCUAGUGCCAUUUAUAUACUUUAUAAAUUUGUGUGCUCUUAAAGCACGCUCAAAUUGAUUUCGCCACGAUAAAUAAUUUCCUCUCUCAAGCUUGUCUGGUACCAUUGAAAAAAUAUUAUAUGAGACGUGUCCCAUGUGUGUCUGAACUCGUGGUGUAUUAUCUAUUGGGGCAGAUGUAGCCAUGUCUACCUUUAACACAAGUUUCUGUAGAGAUUUAAUUUCACAAAGAGUUUAUUCAAAAGGAGGUAUCUAAUUCUAUAUGAUUUAUAUCCCAAGACUCCUUAGACAACUGAUACCAUGUGAAAAUUUGAGGUACGACAGAUCAUAUCUAUCUAUUAAAAUACAGAAUGAAACAUGAACAAUUUACAGUUUACAAGAUUAAUCUGAAAGUCAAGAAGUUAUUCUUAUAGAAUACAAAUUAGGAAAACAAUUGAUAGCAAACUAGGAAAACAAUUACAAACUAGGAAUUACUGAGUAUGAUUAUUACAAACUAGGAAAAACAGUUUAGACAUAAUUUAAUAACUAUUCAAUCGUUCGGAGAAGAAGCUCAAUUGAGCGAAGGUGACGAUUGAAUCAAAAGACAGAGUAAAAAUGAAUUUAAAAGUAUCUGAAAUUAUUGAAAGAUUACUAUGAUUAGAAAAAGAUUACCAAAGAGAGAAAUGAAGGAAUCAAAUUGCUAAGAGUGCGUGAACUGGGAAUGAUCAAAUUGAUUAAAAACUCACAACUUGAAAAACCGGAAUUGAAUGAAUUCCCUGAUUGCAGUAGUUGAUAAUAUAUUUCAUUGUAUCUUAAAAAUCAGUUGGAGUCAAUAACUGUUUAACUGAUAUUUUUUCUUUCUUUCUCUAAAUUGGUUAAUUUUGGAUUUCCCAAAUUAG
rnacentral:lncRNA from 1 species